CUUUGCCAGAAGCCCUCAUGG
rnacentral:miRNA from 1 species